AUUGAACGCUAGCGGCAUGCCUUACACAUGCAAGUCGAACGGCAGCACGGGGGCAACCCUGGUGGCGAGUGGCGAACGGGUGAGUAAUACAUCGGAACGUACCCAGUAGUGGGGGAUAACGUAGCGAAAGCUACGCUAAUACCGCAUACGCACUACGGUGGAAAGCGGGGGAUCGCAAGACCUCGCGCUAUUGGAGCGGCCAAUGGCAGAUUAGCUAGUUGGUGGGGUAAAGGCCUACCAAGGCGACGAUCUGUAGCUGGUCUGAGAGGACGACCAGCCACACUGGGACUGAGACACGGCCCAGACUCCUACGGGAGGCAGCAGUGGGGAAUUUUGGACAAUGGGGGCAACCCUGAUCCAGCAAUGCCGCGU
rnacentral:rRNA from 1 species